rnacentral:lncRNA from 1 species
CCAUAUUCUUUGUACUCGUUUACACUGUGUCACUGCUUUCUUUGCUGCUACCACUUCCUCUCUCCGCGCUACUACUUUUACUGGUGUGACAGAGGCAGGUGGCCAACUUCCUGCCCUUUGACCUUCAACAGUUUGCCCGCAGUAAGGAGACAGAGCACACACACACACACACACACAGACACACACACAGACACACAGACACACACACACACACACACACACACACACACACACACACACACACACACACACACACACACACACACACACACACACACACACACACACACACAGGCAGAGGAGGAGCCUAGGUUGCCCUGGGUGAACUGGGGCAGAGGUCUCGCAAAAGGCCCUGGAGGGAAGUGAAGGUCCUUCGACUCAGGGACAAAAGUUAUUUUAGCCCGCACCGCCGAAGCCGACGGGCUGAACGAUCACGGCGGCGGUGCCAAGGGCUCGGCUAACGCGCAUAUCUGGGAAAACAAGAGAUGUCAGACGAAGAACUGAAAGGAAUGAGAGAGCAGAUCAGUGACACAGCGAUUGAAAAAUGCCACAAAGCACCGGGACAGAAACACUGUCUGCCACCUGCCUCUAAAUCACUUUUUUUCAUUCCAGAAGCUGGGGAGCAGGGAACUGUAUGCAGAGGAGGCUGCCCUCGCUCUGCGAGUCCUUUGUCUCCUAAUAUCUCCAGGCUCCGCCCCUCUCUCAGCCAGCCCUCCAAUGGGAGAGCCUUCAGGUGUUGACCUUAUCAGGUGGAGGUCAAAGCCAGGUCAGGGAUCUGUUGCUAGGCUACCAUCAGAUAAGUGGCUGGGGUAGGCAGCGGUGGGUAGCGCUGUCAUUCAGGGUUUGUCAUGUAAUCUUGUUCAUUUGCAGACAAUUGUUUGGACGUCAGAAAGGCUAUCUGGCCCAUACUGUUGUAAUGAAACACAUUAAAAUAUUAAAACCAGCCAUGCUGAGCAUUGGCAGC